rnacentral:rRNA from 1 species
GACGAACGCUGGCGGCGUGCCUAGUACAUGCAAGUCGAGCGAUAACGGUCGGUGCUUGCCCCAAUUUGGAGGACAGCGAACGGGAGAGUACCGCGUGGGGACUCUGGCUGGGAGUGGGGGACCGCAAUUGGAAACGAUUGCUCAUACCGCAUAAUAACUUUAAACAUAAGUUUUACGUCUGAGAGAUGCAAUUCCAUCACUCAAAGAUGAUCCCGCGUUGUAUUAGCUAGUUGGUGAGGUAAAGGCUCACCAAGGCGAUGAUACAUAGCCUACCUGGGAGGGGGAUCGGCCACAUUGGGACUGGGACACGGCCCAAAAUCCUACGGGAGGCAGCAGUAGGGAAUCUUUGGCAAUGGACGAAAGUCUGACCGAGCAACGCCGCGUGAGGGAAGAAGGGUUUCGGAUCGUAAAACUCUGUUGGUAGAGAAGAACGUUGGUGAGAGUGGAAAGCUCAUCAAGUGACGGUAACUACACAGAAAGGGACGGCUAACUACGUG